rnacentral:piRNA from 1 species
UCACACUACCUGUGAUGAUCACUCCUGAC